GCCUUCUCCUGUCUGCCACCACGUGAGAUGUGCCUUUCACCUUCCACUAUGAUUGUGAGGCCUCACCAGCCAUGUGGAACUAGUUCAAGAUUUCAACAUUUUAAGAUAAUCUGAAAAAAAUUGGAAUGUGCCCCCAGCUGCGCUACUGGUGACUUCUUCAACAGUUGAGAAACUGAACUAUGUGUUCAUGAAAAUACUCCAUCAUUAAAGUUUAUGCAAUACUCUCUCAACACUGUUUAUCAAAGGAACCAAUAUGGAAGGAAAAACAUUGCUUUGAAGGGAAGAUGGAUGGAUCCCCUAGUAAACUACAGCUUGAGGUGCAAUUUCCUAAAGUUCAAAUGCCUGAAAAAGGAAACGAAAGAAAGAAACUCAACUCUUGAGACAGCUUCAAUGCUAGCUUUGAUCUCAAUUAUAGAGUUAUUUAUGAAAAGUGCAUUUUUACAACUAAAAAUAAAUUAGGAUCAAAAGCUUCUAGAGGCUAUACUAUGGAGUGCUUAAUAAAAAGUUGAGUAAAGAGUAAUGAA
rnacentral:lncRNA from 10 species